AGGUCAGUCGAGUGCGCUUGUACACGAGACCCUCUAGGUGAUGUUUAAAAGGAAGAAGGUGUGAAUUGAAGAGGACAUUCAAAGAUUCAAGAGAUUAAAUCUUAGUUUUAAUCAACUGACACUUGAAUUUUUUUUUUAUAUCAAAAAAUUCGCUGACUGAAGGCUGGUACUCGUGGCUUGAACCGGAUCGCAUGGUCUCGCACCGGCGACGUAUCUAUCAAGUGUCUGCCUUAUCAACUUUCGAUGGUAGUUUAUAUGCCUACCAUGGUUGUAACGGGUAACGGAGAAUAAGGGUUCGACUCCGGAGAGGGAGCCUGAGAAACGGCUACCACAUCCAAGGAAGGCAGCAGGCGCGCAAAUUACCCACUCUCAGCACGAGGAGGUAGUGACGAAAAAUAACGAGACCGUUCUCUUCGAGGCCGGUUAUCGGAAUGAGUACAAUUUAAAGCCGUUAACGAGGAUCUAUGAGAGGGCAAGUCUGGUGCCAGCAGCCGCGGUAAUUCCAGCUCUCAAAGUGUAUAUCGUCAUUGCUGCGGUUAAAAAGCUCGUAGUUGGAUUUAAGCUCGAUGACUCGGUCCAUCCAUAGGAUGAGAACUGAGCUCAUCGGCUAUCAUCGGCUGGUUUUGUCUAGGUGGCUUUAAACGGUUGCCUAGGCUGGCUAGCAAGUUUACUUUGAAAAAAUUAGAGUGCUCAACCGCGGGCUUAAUGCCUGAAUAGUCCGUGCAUGGAAUAAUGGAAUAGGAUUUCGGUUCUAUUUUGUUUGGUUUUUAACCCGAAAUAAUGGGUAAAGAAGGGACGGACGGGGGCUAUCGUUAUCGCUACGUGAGAGGUGAAAUUCCUUGGACCGUAGCCGAGAACGCUCCGACUUGCCAAAGCCUUUUGCCUAGGAAUUGUUCUCCUUAAACAAAGAACGAAUGGUUCGAAGGUUCCGAGGGCGAAUCCAAUCCCCCCCCUAAGUUCUUGACCCGUAAACCAAUACCAACUACCCUUUCCCCCGGCGGUAAAUUCUCCCCUGGGCGCGGUCCCUUUCCAGAACUAAAGUUGUUUCUCGUUUCCAGGGGAGUAUUGUUGCCAACCCUUAAACUUUAAACAAUUUGCGUAGCGGUCCCCCCCCGAGUGCGACCCUCUCGUUUAUAUUUAGCUCUCACACGAGUAAAUUCUCCCCCUGGCCCCCGGACCCGAUGAGGAUGU
rnacentral:rRNA from 1 species